ACCAGCGUUUCCUCAGAAUUAAGGGUUCGUCCCGUUUUUUUUUUCUUCGAUGGGUUUCGAUCGCGUCGUUUCAUUUUCUUUUUAGUCAAGCGAAACCGCUUCCAUCUAAAGAUUCAUCGCAAGGCAGUCUGAGUAUAAAAAGCCACCAACCACACCUCAAACAGACCUCGGGCGUAGCUGUAAUCACCAUGAGAAGCUUUGUCAAAACCAUGAGAACCAUCGCCGGAAUUGCUGGAUUUGUUUAUAAUCUGGUUUAAAAUUUUGGAGAUUAGCACAAAUCAAAACCUAUGGAUUUGUCUUUGGAGAAGAGGAAAAUGAAGAGGUGCUGGAGUAAAGAGAAGAAGAGAAUGAGGAAGAGAAUAUUGGUUAUAGAUGGAUGGAUGAUACAAGUUGUGGAUGGAUGACUCGUGGAUGGACAAUAUGUAAACGAGUCGUGGAUGGAUAAUUUGUGGAUAGAUAUGCAGAGAAAAUGUAAACACAUCCAUAUGUAAACGACAAACAGAAAUUUAUUCAUAAUUACAUUAGCGACGUGUGUUCGACCUAUCCGUCCACAAUAGUUGUGUCCACAUAAUUCGUUUUGAAAAUCCAAUUUCUAAAAAUAUCAAAGCAUAUAUAAUAUGGAUCUCGAAAUAUAGAAGAAAAAAAGUUAUAAUUUAUUUUGUACAUUAUAUAUUUAUACUUAUAAAUUUUAAUAUGAAAUAAUACGAAAUAAAACAUGUUGUGAGGAAUAGCUUUAUUUUUGUGAUAAACCAAUAGAAAAAGUUAUUAUAUUAUAGGAGAGAGAUAAAAAUAAAUUUUUAAAUCUAACUCUCGUUUCCUUCCAACAGAAUAGUAUUGAUUUCAUUUUUCACAAGGGUAAUUUUGACAAACCAACUCUUUGGCCCUACAAAAAAAUGUCCCACAAGUGGGAAGUGUCUCCUAGUGUAAACCAAAGACAAAAUGUGUCUUUCUAUGUAAUCAACCGAAAAUUUUACAUCUGAAGGCACAUUUUGACUUUAGAAUUACAUCUAAAGACACAUCUUGCAUAUGACACACAUUCUUUAUAUGUUUUGUCUAUUCUACCCUUUUAUUUAGUUGAGAAUAUAUUUUUAUUUUGUUUUAACUAAACAAAGUCAUUUCCACCACGCAUCCUUUGUGUCUUCUCUCUCAUGUUUCCAAUUUUUAAAUAAUUAUCACCCAUAAACUCCAAAAAUCUAUCUCUCUUUCCAAUCUCAUAUUUAUUUUUCCCAGAUUUAUCUCUUUUGAUUUGAUUUUUUAGCUGGUUGAUCGUAUUAAAAACCUGAGACCACCGUUGUAUUCCUCUCGACAAAACGAAGCCGUAGCUUCUGCCACGCUUCAAUCAGAGGUUUGACACGUCUAUAAGUGUUGUGAGAAACUUCACUAAAAUCAUUUUUCUCCAUUUUAGGAUAGAAUUUUGACUCGAUCUCUUAGCUCGUUUAUUUUAUCAAAAAUAUGAGACCAUAACCAUGUUCCUCUCCACAAAACGAAUCCAUAGCCACCAACCACACCUCAAACAGAGCUCGGGCGUAGCUGUAAUCACCAUGAGAAGCUUUGUCAAAACCAUGAGAAACAUCGCCAGAAUUGCUGGAUUUGUUUAUAAUCUGGUUUAAAAUUUUGGAGAUUAGCACAAAUCAAAACCUAUGGAUUUGUCUUUGGAGAAGAGGAAAAUGAAGAGGUGCUGGAGUAAAGAGAGGAAGAGAAUGAGGAAGAGAAAAUUAGUUAUAGAUGGAUGGAUGAUACAAGUUGUGGAUGGACGACUCGUGGAUGGACAAUAUGUAAACGAGUCGUGGAUGGAUAAUUUGUGGAUAGAUAUGCAGAGAAAAUGUAAACACAUCCAUAUGUAAACGACAAACAUAAAUUUAUUCAUAAUUACAUUAGCGACGUAUGUUCGACCUAUCCGUCCACAAUAGUUGUGUCCACAUAAUUCGUUUUGAAAAUCCAAUUUUUAAAAAUAUCAAAACAUAUAUAAUAUGGAUCUCGAAAUAUAGAAGAAAAAAAGUUAUAAUUUAUUUUGUACAUUAUAUAUUUAUACUUAUAAAUUUUAAUAUGAAAUAAUACGAAAUAAAACAUGUUGUGAGAAAUAGCUUUCUUUUUGUGAUAAACCAAUAGAAAAAGUUAUUAUAUUAUAGGAGAGAGAUAAAAAUAAAUUUUUAAAUCCAACUCUCGGUUCCUUCCAACAGAAUAGUAUUGAUUUCAUUUUUCACAAGGGUAAUUUUGACAAACCAACUCUUUGGCCCUACAAAAAAAUUUCCCACAAGUGGGAAGUGUCUCCUAGUGUAAACCAAAGACAAAAUGUGUCUUUCUAUGUAAUCAACUCUUUAUCCCCUGUAAUUCCUAGCAAACUUUUUGCAUCAAAACCCAUCCGUAUUUGUAUUUGUUUACUGUUGAGAUAUAUACGGUUACACAUUUUGGUCACAGCUCUAAUACUAAGUUUGUUGAAAUAACGGCGGUCACAGCUCUAAUACUGACUAAAUAUAAAUGUUUGGUUUUCCUCACUUAGCCAACUGCUUGGUAACAGUAUCUUUAACUAACAGAACAAUAACAAUAUCAUUACCUUGGUUAUUGGUGAGAAAAAAUUUUGUAGCUUUUGAUGUGUACAUAGUCUUCACUUUCUUUGAUAAAAAAAAGCCAUCACCUUCAUUUCAAAUUAAUUCUACUCCUAGAAAAACAAGCCCUCGGCCCAAAACUAUAAGAUUUUCCACUUAGUUACUAAUUCAAGUAAAUAGAAUCCUUAUCAUAGUUUGCGUUCAAAAAAAAAAACCCUUAUCAUCUAUCUAUACUAAUAAAGUUGGCUUUUCUCCUUUCUUAGAGUGCCACAUCAUCAGUUAGAAGAGGGCAAAUGCUGACACGUCAGCUUCUCUAUCUGAAAAUGCAAAUGUUUCGUCUCUUCGAGAAUUUCUUAAUGGGCCAGUUAUUAUAGCUACUACACGACACUAAACUUAGUCUCAACGUUAUAAUUGCAUGUUUGACCAUUUUGUAAACGAUGGGCUACUAGGUGAAUUUAAUUAUAACGAGUAGCUCAUCUACGUUAUGUAGUCUUAUUCUUCCUGAACCUUUUGUUGUCUAACCGAAGAAGAACGCAGAGUGACGAUUGAAAAUUCUUUCCUUCGAUUUUCAAAGACAAGUAACGCCUUCCUAUAGCAUUCAAUUGCUCCCUGUGAUGAUUGCAAUAACAACCAUUAAACCACUCUCUCCACUCCUUCGUAUUGAUUUCAUUAUACAUCCAUGGUAACGCCAGAAUGUCUAAAACCUAGGGUUAUAAAUACGCUGGAGGCAGGACAUGUCAAUCAUCUCUCCCAACAAAACAUUCUAAACUUUCGAAUCCAAGCUCACCUACCUCCGAUGGCCACCUCACGUAUCAUUCUCAAAUAAUUAGAAAGUCGGGCGUUGCUCUAACAAAGCGGAGAUCCGUAUGCUCUGAUUCAGGGAAGCCCGUAAUGUCAAGAAAGGAGGUAUAAAAAGUGGGAUUCAAUCCACUGCCAUAUGAGGUAUUUGCUCUCCACUGCGAUGUUAGUAUAUCAAUCCAUCAAAUUGGUUAAUCUAAAGUUUGUCACCAAGGUCAACAAUUUACUUUCAUUCUUUGCCGUUUGUGUAUUAUGAGUUAAACAAGUGAAGGGAUAUGAUCAACUCAUUCAGUUUUGAUUAUAAUGUAUAUUAAGAACUUUAGUGCGUUUU